AAUUGCCAGAAAGGAGUUUUUUCAGAAAACGUAAGCAAAGCGUAGACGUAACAUCUGUAUUCUGAUCACAUUAUUGCUGAUAUAUUACAAAUGGAGCGACGGAAACAUAAAGGGCUUGCUGUUGUUGGGUUUUUGUUCUCUUUAACUGCAUUUGUUGCCCAUGGAGUAGCAUCUUAUUUGCCAUACUGGUAUAGCGAGUCUGUUGGUCGUACUGAUGUUUAUAGUGGAUUAUGGCAAGACUGUUGGAAAAAAUCAGGAAAAGACGUAGAGUGUACAGACAUAACUCCUAUAUGGGACGAUGAUAAGAAAUGUAAGUAGUUAUUACUUUAUUCAUUCAUAUGUACAGGUCAGGUCAUUAAAGAUGGCAUGUUUUGGAAUACAUAUUGAUUCAUUGAUAGUGUCUUUGCGAUGAAAAUAAAUACAUUUAUUCUAAAACCAGUUGUUAGCAUGAUACAGGUUAUGUUCUCAUAUAUUUUAUGAUAGUAUGAUACUUAUUCAAUAACGGGAGGGAUUGUACUUGAUGAUCAUAUGAUAAAGACAUCAUCUUUCACCAUCGGUUUAUUUGAGGUCUGCAGUCCUUGGUUCGUUUAUGUAUCAUUGUCAUUUUACUUAGUUCCUUCGGUUACAUAUUCUGAUAAUAGUUGUUAAAACUCUGUCAUUUUAGUCACUGUUGGAGAGUUAUCGCAUUGGAAAUCAUAUCCCGUGUUCUCAUUUUUAUAUUCAAUACUUCAAUCAGAUCUAAAACCAGAUGCUCCGCAGGGCGCAGCUUUAAACGAACGCAGAGGUCGAACCCUGAACGGUUGGGGCUAGUAUGGACACAACAUUCAAACUGGAUACAGCUAUGAAUUUAGAUUGUGAUUAAAUAGUUGACACAGCAUAGGUUUCUGACACAGAAUGAAUGUGGUCUAAUGAACUUAAAAUGUUCUUUUGCUUUUCACCUCCCCCUUUCCCUUAUUCCAAAAAUGAUCUCAAUUCAAAUUUCUAAUGGAGUUUUCAACAAUAACUACUCAUUUAACUACAUCAUAAAAUAUAAAAUGUCAUACAGUCAUGAUUUAAGUUGAUUUGACUACUAUUCUGGACAAAGAAAGAUAACUCCAAUGCAACAUUUUAUAUUGGCAAAUUUCCAAUGAAGUUCAUUAACUAAACUUUUUGACAAAUUUCCAAUGGAAUUUAUAAAUAACAAAGUUUUUGUCUAAUUUCCAAUAUACAUAAUUUAAGAGCAUUUUAGGUGAGCUAUUAAAAUGAGUUUCAAUUACCAACCUUACACUGCUUUUAAAUUAUGUUUUGUACUUAAGUAAUUGUCCAUUAACCUGGAAACCCUUUUCCCCCCUUUUUUACAGCUUAUUCCUUAACGGUUUAAGCCAUAAUUCCCAAAGACAAUUCUUACCAUCCCUUAGUGGUAUUCCAAUAUCCAAAAUCUAAAUACAUGGUUAGAUUCAUCAUAUCAAAAAUACCCAAGAAUUCAAUUUUUGAUGAAAUCAAAUAAAGUUCAAUUCUGGACCCUUUAGACCUCAUUGUGGACCAAUUUGAUAACCGGUCCUAAAUACUAAAAUCUGAAUACAUGGUUAGAUUCAGCAUAUUGAAGAACCCCAUUUGUUGAAUUUUUGUUGAAAUCAAACAAAGUUUAAUUUUGGACCCCGAUUUGGACCAACUUGAAAACUAGGCCCAUAAUAAAAAAAAACUAAGUACAUGUUUAGAUUUAGCAUAUCAAAGAACCCCAAGAAUUCAAUUUUUGUUAAAAUCAAACUAAGUUUAAUUUUGGACCCUUUGGACCUUAAUGUAGACCAAUUUGAAAACGGGAAUAACAAUUAGGAAUCUAAAUACACGGUUAGAUUCGUUAUAUCAAAAAACCCCAAUAGUUUAAUUUUUGAUAAAAUCAAACAAAGUUUAAUUUUGGACCCUUUUGGUCCCUAAUUCGUUGGGAUCAAAACUCCCAAAAUCUAUCCAAACCUUUCUUUUGUGGUCAUAAACCUUGUGUUAGAAUUUUAUAGAUUUCUAUGAACUCAUACUAAAGUUAUUGUGCAAAAGCCAAGAAAAAUGCUUAUUUUGGGACCUGUGUUUGGCCCCUAAUUCCUAAACUGUUGGGACUUAAACUCCCAAAAUCAAUCCCAACCUUCCUCUUGUGAUCAUAGACCUUAUGUUAAAAUUUCAUAGAUUUCUGUUUACUUAUUCUAAAGUUAUUGUGCGAAAACCAAGAAACAUGCUUAUUUGGCCUCUAAUUUUUAAACAGUUGGGACCAAAACACCCAAAAUCAAUCCCAACCUUCCUUUUAUGGUCAUAAACCUUGUGUUUGAAUUUCAUAGAUUUCUAUUUACUUUUACUAAAGUUAGAGUGCGAAAACCAAAUGUCUUCGGACGACGACGACGACCACGCCAACUUGAUACCAAUUUACGACCAAAAUUUUUUUCAAUUUUUGCGGUCGUAUAAAAAUUCUACGUUAUUUAUCUUUUUUAUUCAUUCAUUCACUCUUUUAUUUUCAUAGUUUUGAAAUAGGCGUCGAAGACCAAUAUGCACUUGUCCUAAUAAAGCAUUCGCAAAGAAAUUGAUCAGUGAAGGAAAAUGUUCAGAAACCAGACUUUUAUCAAUAAGUCAAAGCAAAGAACAUGUUAAAAGUCUGUGCAAUGUUAAUAUGCCCAACUUUUAAUGGAUAUAGAAAUAUUUGUUUUCCUUACACCUUUAACUUUCGACAUUUUUAAAGAAACUGUUGUUAGACUUCUCAGAAGCAAUUUGCGGUGUUUAAUAUUCCUUUCAAUCUUGCCUGGGAAAAUAUUGUGUUUGACAGUUUUUUCUUGGACCUCAUGAACAUUUUAAAAAUAUGUUUCCCAAAUAAUAAAAUUGUCUACCCCAUUGUAUUGUAAUUAAGCGGGUCGCUUCUGUGCAAUGCAUAUAACAAAGACGCUUGAAGAGGCCAACAAUUUACCAAUAAAAUCUCAAUGUCAAAAUAUUACUUUAUUCCUUAUUUUCUGUUAUUAUAUGUUAAGGGGCACUCGCUGUCAAAUUCAUGUUGACCGAUUUGAAAAAAGAACAAAAUAAACAAUUUACAAUGUAUAAUCUCUAAGUUAUGUAUGAUCAGCAUUUCGUGUGUAUUUCGAUCUAGACGUCAUUUAAUUAACAAUCUAUGUGGCCCAAGAACACAGUUAUUUCGUAGUGCAUUUCUUUUAAACAAUAAAUUAAAAUUAAAAAAAUCGCACCUGCUCUUUCUCAAAAAGAUUUUUACAGUGUAGUGUACUACCAGUGAGACAAAUAAUAUCAAAGUUAUAGAAACUUCUACCAGCUCAAACUCAAAAUAUUGACAAUUCUGUGUUAAGUGGGUGCAUGUAAAAUUCAGUUUGACAGCUUCAGACGUGAUAAAAUUUGACCUUUUAGAACUAGACCAAUUCACUACUUAACAUAAAGAUUCAGCACCCAAAUUUUUUGACAUGUAAAUACAUCCCCCUACUUAAUAUUUCAUGCAUUUAAUAUCAAGGAAUAAAUUGGGAAAGUGCAUCAAAUAAAACAUGCAAGUUAUACACUGUUUACACUAGGGACUAUAUUCGUAGACAACGGAAACCAAAGGACGAUAACUGUGUCCUUGGACCAUAUAGCUACAUAAGAGGUUAAUAGAUUAAAGGUCACGUGAAAAGGAAUUCAAUGAGGUCGAAGUAUUCACUUGCAAGUGAAUAAUUAAUCAUCGCUGUUUCUAAGCUUAUUUUUACAAAUUGAACCAAACUGGCGGCUUAAAGCGAAUUAUUAUUUCACUACUUCACUACCAUUAAUGAUUGAACAAAAAAAACAUUUACUAUGGGAUUUUUUAUAUCUCGAAGCUGGUGUCAUUUAAAUUUAAAUCAAACUUUUAGAACACAAAAUAAUUGAAGGGGUGAUGAUAUCUCUUUAUUACCAAUACUCACCUUGAUCUAUAGUUUAAGAAACCAUUUCACGUCUUACUACAUAGAAGUCUGUCAGUUUACAUUUUUUAUCUUUCGCUUGAACAUACGUGGUCACACUCGAAAAAAAACCCAAGAUUAAAUCACUCGAAAUAAUCACACGAUCCAAGCCGGAAACUACACCUACAGUAAACAAUCGUACAUUUUAAAGACAUUAUCUGUGUAAUUAGAAAUAUGUGUUUUGUUCACACAUCGUUAUCAAUAAAUGAAAUUGUAUGCGACUGUCAUACAAGUGAAAGGUUAAGCUAACUUUAAAAGCAGGUUUAAUCUGCCAUCUUUUACAAAAGUAAAUGCCUUUAUCAAGUUAGGGUUAUGACAGUUGUUAUCCAUUAGUUGAUGUGUUUGAACUUUUGAUUUUGCCAUUUGAUAAGGAACUUUCCGUUUUGAAUUUUCCUUAGAGUUCGGUAUAUUAGUGAUUUUAAUUUAUACCUUUAAAUACACUUUCUUUUUUAAAACUUAAUAAAUGUUAAUCUUUGAUGUAUAUUGAUAAAAAAAAACAAUUGAAAAAAUCAUGUUUACCUGUAUAUAAAGUCUAAAGAUCAUUCCGGUCACUAAUUUUAGGCCUUUGCAUGUUAUAAUCUAUAAGAUCUCCAAAACGUACCCGUUUUUCACACCCAUGGCAAGCAUUCGAUUACACCAGUCUGCUCUUGUCUAAUGAACUUUCUAUCAACAUACGAACAUGAUUAUUAUUUUUUUGUGAAAAUAACAAUUGUAGAGUUUUAUCAGUUCAUGUUCAAUGAGUAAUUUAAAGAUUGAUACUUUUACAAAGAAGGUUAUCCAUCUUUUACAAGAUUUGUACACUGUUUUUGUACAACUUUAAGAAAAUGAAAAUACAAUGUACACUUUUGUAUGUGCGGUCUAUUCGAUCUAUUCACAUUAUGUUAAUACAUGGAUACGUUCAGUUUGAAAUUGAUUAGUAACCUAAUUCCAAAGAGGGUUAAUGUUUGUUGCUGCCUUUCGGUCAUUUUCUUUGGAAUUUUUCCCCUGAACUUCUCUGAUCAAAUAUCAUACUUAUACGAAUAAGUUGCAUUUUCCAAAGAGGUAAAAUGAACUAGCAGGAAAAUAAUUUAUAGCUUGUACUCCAGGAAUUUAUUUGCAUAGCAACAUUUAAAACCUAUUUUACGCAAAGCUCAUAUUGCCUUCUGUAAUCGUCGUUUUUCUAUUUUAGGUGAGAAAUGAUAUAAUUAUAUGAAAACUUUAUUUUUAUUUCAAUUUAUGUUUAUUUUAUUUGUUGCUGUUUUCUUGUAAUUUUGACAGAUAAAAUUAUUGAAAUAUAAAUACAGCCGGAAGCUUUUGAAGUUCGAAAGAUCUUUCAUAUGGGAGCUUCAGACCAUAAAAUUAAUAUAAAAAGAACCUUGUACAUGUAAUAUGUCAGAAAUCAGGACCUUAAGAUGAAAAGAGACAUUCAGACUCAAAAGUUGCGUAACAAUAUUAAAUUAGCCAUUUUUUUUUCAUUUUUUUUUUUUAAUAAAAUGCAUUUUAACGUACUUUAUUUGGCCUUUUAAACAUUUUUUUAUUCGAGCGUCACUGAUUGGUCUUUUGUAGACGAAACGUACGUCUGGCGGCAGUGUACAAUUUUAGUCCUGGUAUCUGUGAUGAUAUAAAAAAGAAGAUGUGGUAUGAUUGCUAAUGAGACAAGAGACCAAAAUGAGUUUAUUUAAUAGUUCCUCUUUUUUGUUGUAGGGUAUGAGAGAACAUGCCAAGGUCUAGCAAUGGGCGCUUCACUCUUAACAUUUAUCGGUGUGAUAAUACUUAUAGUAAAGCUGUGUAAAGGAAAAGAACCUGGCUGCACAAGUGCCUAUCCUGUCUCUCGUGUUUUAUUUUUUAUUGGCGGUAAUUUUUUCCGAUAAUUUAAUUGUCAUAUAUUUGUCACACGACAUUAAGUAAAUGAUAACUGAUCAAUGAAUCUCAGUACAUAUAUAGUAUCGUAAAUUAGUUGAAAAUGGGAAUGGGGAACAUGUCAACGAGACCACAACCGACCAAAGAUCAGAAUCAUUUAAAUAGAACUAAUUUCAUUAUGUAAAAUUGUGUAUAUGUAUCCUAUAAGCUGUAUUGAUUUCAGAAUAAAGUAUUAUUAUCAUGUAUGCUCAUUUACCUAGCAAUAAUGUAUAUUCAGUUUUACAAAGUGCUCGGUUCAUUAUUGUAUAUUUCCCUUUUAAUAAUUAUAGAUCGGCGUUUUUAAGCAAGAUGCAUAUAUAUGGAAACGAUUUUUUACUUGAACAGUUACAUGUAGUUUAACCUUUUCUUUUUUUAGGCCUAAUGAUAUUUGGUGUGACCGGAGUAUGGUCGGCAUAUCAGAGAGAAUAUAUUAAAGAAAACAAGUCGUUUGCUUACUGGAUCGAAUGGGGUGCGGGUGUUCUUUUCAUUGUUUCUGCAAUACUGCUUGCAAUACGGAAGUAUGCUCCUUCAGAUCAUUAUAGGAAUCCAGCACCGGUUAAUCCAACAACUCAAAUACAUCUUAAUAUGGCACCAGCAGCUCAACCAUAUAUGCCGCCACCAGCUCAACCAUAUAUGCCGCCACCAGUUCAGGCAUAUCCUUAUAUGGCAAAUCAGGGUUUUGCGAGAUAUUAAGUUUCUUUAAAUUAAUGUAAACACUUGUUCCGUUCUAUAUUCCCAUACUUGAUAACUUUUAACUCUGUUUUUUAUUUGUACAAAAUAAUGC
rnacentral:lncRNA from 1 species